AGGACGAACGCUGGCGGCGUGCCUAACACAUGCAAGUCGAGCGAGGAGAUUCCUUCGGGAUGAUCCUAGCGGCGGACGGGUGAGUAACACGUGGGCAACCUGCCUCAUAGAGAGGAAUAGCCUUCCGAAAGGGAGAUUAAUACCUCAUAACAUUGCAGUUUCGCAUGGAACAGCAAUUAAAGGAGCAAUCCGCUAUGAGAUGGGCCCGCGGCGCAUUAGCUAGUUGGUGAGGUAACGGCUCACCAAGGCGACGAUGCGUAGCCGACCUGAGAGGGUGAUCGGCCACAUUGGGACUGAGACACGGCCCAGACUCCUACGGGAGGCAGCAGUGGGGAAUAUUGCACAAUGGGGGAAACCCUGAUGCAAGCAACGCCGCGUGAGUGAUGACGGCCUUCGGGUUGUAAAGCUCUGUCUUCAGGGACGAUAAUGACGGUACCUGAGGAGGAAGCCACGGCUAACUACGUGCCAGCCGCUGC
rnacentral:rRNA from 1 species